UCCUUUCACUGCACAACUUCUUUCAUAUACGUCCCUCUCUCUCUCUCUCUCAUCCCACUAUUACCAUUUCCAUUGGUUGUUUGUUCUCACCUUAAGGAGGAUUCUUGCCCAAGUCCUCGUUUUUUUGUCAUUGAGUUUCUGUGUCUCCCACUUGUCACUUUUGUUUUUUGUGAUGCUUCAGAAGUUCCACGUUUUUUUUAUUUGAUGACUCUAUGUCAUUUUCCUUUCUAAUUGCAGCAGAUAGUGUGGAAUCAUUUCCCCCCCUAAAGUAUAUUCCUUUCAGCUUGUGAUAUUAAUUUUCUAAUUCAUUGUUUGGUUCUGCUUCACAGGAAUGGUAGAUUUAAGGUGAAGAGGUUCCACAUUGGUCAGGUAAUCCUCAAAUCUAGCUUCACUCUAGCUCGUUAACACCAAUUUCAUGGACCAAGCAGUGUUAUGUGCCUGCUAGUUUUUGCUUGUAGCAUAUCUUGUGGAUUAACGGAUUCUAGGGUUUGAAAAUAGAAACACUUCUUCCAAAUUUUGUAAGAGGCGAGUGAGCCUUGACUGUUUGAGACUUGCAGAGAUCUGUCUCCAUCAUAUUUUGUAAGCUUAUUUUUUAUACAACGCAAUUCAUUGAACUUGACCGCCAUACAUACCAUACCAUACCACAUGAAUAAGAAUAUUAAAUUACAUUUAAUUUAAGAAACUUGUUUUGCUGCUAUUCAUUUCUUUUCUUUUCCUCUUUCUCUUCUCUGUUAUGCUCUUGUCUUGCUUUUCCAUCCAUGUAAGUUUCUCAUCCAUAGAUAUUUUAUAUUUUUCUCUUCUCCGAUGUGUUAAUUUUCUUAUACCACAUGUGUUUAAGAGUUAGGUGUUCGAUUCAAUCUAAGGAUAGGGAUAGUACUAACAUGUUUAUUUUCUUAUGAAAUAAAUAACUAACACAGUUUUUUGUUCUUAAUUGACCCAACCUAAGGGCAAGCCUUUUAUGCUCUAUUUGGUUGCAAAGGAAGACCAUACUUUGAACUUUCUAUCUCUGCCUUUUCACAACUUUGUUCCAUUUUUCAUCCACUUCGCCACGUUUGCAAUGCUUUUUUGUACAUAGAUGGUGCCAUGUUGAAUUUAUACUCCAUGAAAUACAUAGGUCAUGCUUCAUAAUUGUUAUCAGUUUUGCACCACUUAUUUGACUAUUUUAUAUUGCCUUUUUAGGAACUUUGCAUAUAAAUGUUCAUAACAUUGUUAUUGUUGCAUUUUUUUCCUUAAUUUUCUAGCAAUCAUUUCUUAAUUUAUGUCUUGAUUUGAUAUUGAAAUAAAUUUGUUCAUAACCAGGUUUGAAUAAAAUCUGAAUUAUGAUCAUAGGUGAUAGACUAUUUCUAAAUGGGUAGAUGUUUCAUUGUCCAUGGGGGUACCUUCGUAACCAAAGAAGGACACCUUCACAGGAGUCAGGUUUAUUGACAUUACUUACCUAAGAUGACGAUGUAAACACACUUCAGGUAUCUUAGAUGAAGGUAACUUACACUUAAUCUCUUAAUUUCAGCAAUAAAAUCUUAGAUUUGGUGCAUAAUUUGAUUAAAGUGUGGAAGAAAACUGCAGAGAUAUAUACUCAAAUGGUUUGUAUGAGUUAAUUUUGCAUCGGAUGAUAAACAACAACUCAAAAUAUUGAGUCAGAGUAGUAUACUUUUACGAGGUUAGUCACAUUUUACAUUUUAUGUGUAUCAUCCUUUUCUCUUGUUUGUUUGGUUGCUUAUCCCAUAUGCCUCUACUGGAUGAAAACACAAACUUUGAUACAUAAGUAGAUAAAUGAUGUAAGGUUUUGAUGUGCCUAAAAAGUAUAUAAGUGGUGGCUUCAUUGAUGUAAUAAUAUGUCUCUUGUGUAUUUGUAUGAACACACUCCGUUAAAUAUUACCAAAUCAUUUUAUUUCACGAUUAUAUUUUCUUACUUCUUGAUGUUUCUUAAUAGAGAUUUGUUGUUGGUAGUUUGUAUCAAUGAAGAUUCCUGAGAACCAAAGGUGGAUGUAUCAGAGGUUAGAUGCUAAUAAACAUUGGACAAAUGAGUUUAGAGAAGGAGUGUUUGAGUUCAUAUAGUUUGUUACUAGUCAGGACAUGUUUCAAAUGCAAGGUGAACAAACAAGGUGCCCAUGCAACAAAUGCAAAUGUAGAGUUUUCAAGUUUGUGGAAAAUGUGAUGAGAGAUCUUUAUAAGGAAGGAUUCAUGCCCAAUUAUUAUUGGUGGAAAAACCACGGUGAGGAGUUACCACAAUUUCCUCCAGUAGUGUUGCAAGGUUCAUACUACGGAAGUGGUGGGCAAAGGGAAGAAUUGAAUCCUUAUGACAAAUGCUCAUGGAUCAUGCUGGACCAUCAAUUGGGAAAUAUAUAGAACAAGAAGGUGCAAUUGAGACAGAAUGCAUGGAGAAAAAUCCUAAUCUUGAAGCUCAAAAGUUCUUUGAUAUGCUUGCAAUUGCACAAGCACCGUUGUGGGAAGGAUGCGAGCAUCAUUCAGAAUUGUCUGCUUCUUUGGUCUGUUUUAGCUUGAAAUAUGAUUAUAAUAUGUCAGAAGGGUGUUUUAAUCGUACGGUUCAACUUAUGGGGGACACCAUGCCAAAAAACAAUAAUAUGGUGAUAAAUUUUAUCAAGCUAAGAGGUUGGUGCAGAAAUUGAGUCGCGGUUGUUUGAAAAUUGAUUGUUGGCCUAACGGAUGCAUGUUGUAUUAUAAAGAAAAUUAAGAUAAGAGUAUAACUAAUUGCUUUUUUUGUAAAAGUGAUCGGUACUUUACAGUUAAUAGGAGAGGGAUUGAAAAGAAGUUUCUUGGCAUGGUGAGAAUCAAAGGGACCUGAUUGUCAUGUGUCAGUCAUCUAAUGGUGAAGCGUGGAAGCAUUUUGAUAGAAUGCAUCUAGAAUUUAGUCAGGACCCUAGGAAUGCCAAAUUAGGGUUAUGUUCAGAUGAGUUUAGUCCUUUUGUUCAAUUUUGGAAGACUUACUCUUGUUGGCUGAUUAUCUUAACUCCAUAUAAUCUUCCUCUUGGCAUGUGCAUGAAGAGAGAAUUUAUGUUUUUAAUUGUCUUAAUUCCAGGUCCAUCAGAUCCAAGGCACAAUAAUGAUGUGUACUUGCAACCACUCAUAGAUGACUUGUGCACUUUGUGGAAUGAUGGCAUACCAACUUUUGAUGUGUCAUUGAGGCAUAAUUUUUUGAUGAAGGUUGCUUUGAUGUGGACAAUCAAUGCCUUCUCGGCUUAUGGGAUGUUGUCAGGUUGGACAACUGCUAGCAGAAUUGGUUGUCCCAUAUGUAUGGAACGAUCGAAGACAUUCAAAACUUUAAAUUUUCACAAGAUAUGCUAUUUUGAUUUUCAUCACCAAUUUCUUCCACUUAAUCAUGCAUAUAGGAGGAAUAAAAAAUCAUUCAAGAAGGGUUGGGUUGAGACCUCACCCCCUCCUCCAUGUUUGUCUAGUCUUGAUGUUUGAAUAGAGUUGCACAUUUACUGCUCUGUCUUUAGUUGCAAGAAGAAAAAGAUUUUCCUGGAUGUGGUGUUGAACAUAAUUGGAAGAAGCAAAAUAUAUUUUGGUUGUUACCGUAUUGAAAAACACAGAUUUUGCGUCAUAACAUUGUGAUGGACAUCAAUGGCAAAAGUAAGGAUACACACAAUGCUUGAAUAGACUUAGCAGAAAUAUGUAAUAAAAAAAAGCUUGAGUUGGUAGAUGUUGGUCGUGGCAAGUUCUUUAAACCAAAGGCAACUUAUGCAAUGACCAAAUCCCAGAGACUCGUUGUUCUUAAAUGGGUCAAAGAACUAAAGUUACCAGAUGGCCAUGCCUCCAAUUUAGGUCAGUGUGUGGAUCUUAACAAGGGAAAAAUUCAUGGAAUAAAAAGUCAUGAUUGUCAUGUUUUCAUGCAAUGGUUGCUUCCAAUUGAAUUUAACUCAUUAUCAAAACCUAUUUGGAAGCCACUUGUUGAACUUGACCAAUUUUUCAGAGAACUAACUUCGACAACAUUAAAUGUUGAACAACUAAGAGUUAUGGAAAAUAACAUACUUGUGUUGUUGUGUAAGUUAGAACAAAUAUUCCCACCAAGCUUCUUUGAUUCAAUGGAGCAUCUUCCAGUUCAUUUACCUUAUAAGGCAAGAUUUGGUGGUCCAGUCCAAUAUCGUUGAAUGUAUCCUUUCGAGAGAUAUAAAAUGAGUAAUCAUUUAUACACCAUUGUAUUAUAUAGUCAUUUUUUUAAAAAAAUAUUUAUUCAUAUUAAUUUUAGGUUUUUACACUCCCUCAAAAUUAAAGUCAAGAAUUAGGCUAAAGUCGAGGGAUCGAUUUAUGAAGUGUACAUAGUGGAGGAGACAUCUACCUUUGCCUCGUUUUACUAUCCUGAUCAAAUUGCAUUGAAAAGAAAUAGGAUGCUUCAGAAUGUUGAUGUGGAUGAAGGUUCUUCAUCUUCUCCUCCUAUAUCAAUUUUCAAUUACCCAGGAAGAGUGAGUGGUUAAUCCAAAACAUAUUUUUUGGACCAAGUUGAUCUUCAUGUUACUCAGUUGUAUGUUCUUCAAAAUUGUUCAGAGGUUGAGCCAUAUUAAGAUUAAGAUGAUUUUAAUACUUGUAUGACUCUAAUUAAUAAUUUAAUGAUGUUAUGUUGUGUACUUUGAGUAAUUUGUUUUAUUCUUUCCAAUAUUUAUGAGAGUUUUUUGAGGGAGUUGAAUCCCAUUGCUUCAGAUGCUCAACUUAACCAAGACAUUUCACCCAACUUUCCUACAUGGUUCAAGAAAUAUGUAGGUUAACAUCUUAUAUAUUAUUCAAAUAAUAUUUCCUCCAUAAUGAUAUGGUCUUAUAUACAACGUUAAUUGUUAAAUUUUUUAGCAUGAGGGCCUAAGAGAAAAGUUGAAUCAUGGCCUAUCUAUGUUAUAAAUGGAUACAAAUUUCAAAUAAUUAUCUGGAAUGAAGGCAUGAAUUCUUCUAAUUAUGAUGUUUACGUACGAGGAACUGAUGGUCAACUAGAAUAUGAUUUUUAUGGAAUGUUGUCUGAAAUUAUUCAAUUGGAGUAUACUGACAUCUCAUUGAUGAAGUUAGUUCUAUUCAAGUGUGAUUGGUUUGAUAAUACUCCUUAUAUAGGGACACGAGUACAUAAAAAAUAUGAGAUUGUUGAAGUAAGGCAAUAAAAAAGAUAUACUAAAACAUACGACCCAUUCAUAUUUGCACAACAAGCAAAACAAGUUUAUUUCAUAACAUAUCCUGAGGGACAUUAAGGAUGGUUAGCCGUAAUGAAGACAAAAGCUCACAACAGAAUCACUAACAAUAUAGUAAGUGAAAUUGAGCAAGAGGCUCCAUACCAAGAUGAUGAGCUUGUAGGACUUCAAGAAGUGUUGGAAGUUGACCCUGAUUUCAUUAAUGAAUCUCUUACGAAUGUUGAUGGAGGUGGAGAAGAGGUAGAUGCAGAUUUACUUAAACAACUAGACUUGGUUGAACCAGAUGAGGAAAAAUGAUAUUAAGUGAGAAUGAGAUUGAAAGUGACUUUGAUGAUACAAAUACUUCUUAGGUAAUUCAUACAUUAAAGUUGAUUGCAUGUCUUAUGUUGAAUGUGUGUGUGUGUGUGUGUAUAUAUACAUUUGUAUGAUUGUGGUUUGUAAUAAUUAUUACUUUUACUCAUGUAAUGAAUAUGAAAGAGAAGAUAAGUGACCUAUUUUGCUGUAAAAAACAUAUUUAUGUGAUUUUUCAUUAAUAAGUUGGAUUUGUUUAUUUACUAAAGUGUAUUGAUUGUGGUACUUCACUUUUUAUUUAUUUGUCCUUAAAUAUUACACACACACACGUGUGUGUGUGUAACAAAAUCAAACAUGUAGACGACAUACAGUGAUAGAGGUGGUGGUCGCAGAACAUUUAAUCGUGGUAGAAGACAUGGUGUUAGUUUAGGAGCUCCAAUUACCAUCAAUCCUUCCACCUCUUCUAUUCACAUAUCAACCUCAGAGUUGAUUAUUCAUGUCGUUGCACCAGCACCAAACACACUUCCUACAGCUCAAGACUAACCAAAUCCGACCUUUUUAAGGAACCUUCAGCACCAGAUGAUUCUCUUACAUCUGAGUAUCCACCUGAUCUAAAUUGUGAACAUAUUGUUGAUUAGAGGCCUUUCAUUCAUGCAUAUAAAGGAGAGUAAGUUCAUUUUAUUGAACUAUUAAUUUUUCUUAAAAUGUUUUUUAAAUGUGAUAUUGACAAUGUCUUUGUACAUAGGUUUCAACCAACAUAUGGAUGUUCUAAUAUCAUAUUAGAUAUCCGAUAAUUGUAAAAUUUGGGUUUAAUUGAUGAUUAAUUUUGACUAAGAAUGAUUAGAAUUCCUCUAAUUUACUAUUGAUUUUAAUAAAAAAAUGAGGAAUUUAAUAUCAUGUUAAUUUUUUACCCUGGGGAUUCAAAAGAAGAAAAUUACAAGUGCUUUGGAGGAAAAUUGAUUCAAAAACUUGAAAAAAAGCCUUAAAGAAAAAGUUGAAAAUUGGGAUAGCUCGCUUAGCACACAACACAAUACAGGCCCAGUGCAUCACUUCGCUUAGCAGUCAGCCUAAGCUUACCACAAAGAUGCCCAAAGGCGUGCUUAGCACGAAUCCCGCACUAAGCGCGUGAUCAUCGCCAUACUCGCUAAGCCUAGAAGGCCCACUUAGCAUGAUGUCGCAUGUAUUUUAAGCUACCUUAAGCCUAUAAAAGGAGUAGGAAGCAAAAGAGAAAGACAUACUGAGACUCAAAGUUCGCUAUUGAAUACACCCAAAGCCUGAGCAUCUCUCAUAGGGAAAAUCCUUUUUCUUUAGCCAUUCUCCCUUCUUCAUUUAUCCAUCCCUCUUCUUCUUCCAUGCUCAUUAGCCGCUAAAGUGUAAAGCCUCUCAUGGUAAUGAAAGGCUAAACCGCCUGUGUUGGGAGCCUAGCAACCAAUGCCCUUGUAAUGUAAUAUUUCCUUACUAUCUAUUGAAUGCAAUGCUAAUUUUUAUUGUUUAUUUCUUGUGCUUUAUUUUCAUUGCUAUGGUUUGAUCAUCUAUGCAUCUGUUUAGGGAUUAGGCAAUGGGAAGUGUUUAAUUUCUAAAGAACUGGAAAAAAGCAUCUAAACAAAUCAUUGCUAGGGAUAAAGUGGUCCUGUUUAGCCUAUGCAUACAUCUCUAAACUUCAUGCAAUUUACUGUUUUAUCUCUGCUAAGGGAUUUGGGAGAGAGAAUAGAUAAAUUUGGCUCUUCAACGUGAGGGAUCAAGGUUGAGUAUCUUAGUAGAUGUGAGGGGAAAUUGGGAUAAUAUUAAAUAGAGAAACACAUUAACAUUGCAUCAAGGGUAGUUAAGCAUGCUAGGCCUCAACAUAUUUAAAUUCUGAAGUCAUCUUUGCAUUCAAACUUUUCUACUCUUCUUGUCUUUUACUCUUGAAUUCUUUCUUUCUUAUCUUUUAGUACAAUUCUUUAUCUCUUGCUUACAAAUUGAGUAUACAUUAACUCAAGUACAAACAAAGUCCUUGUGGAUUCGACACUGGGACUUCCGAGUAAAUUUUAUUACUUGAGACAAAAUUGGUGCACUUGCGAACGGGUUAACAAUAUCAUUAGAGCAAAGUUUGAUGAACCAGGUCCAAGUUGGUUAAAGGUAUCAGUUGACCUUUGCGAUAGGUGGUUUGGAGAGUUUAAGAAACAAUAUAGGUGGUACCCAACAAAAGAGCGAGCCAUUAGAGCUAUUUUUGAGACAAAAAGUUCACGCAUUUUGAAAAGUGCAAUGAACAAGAUCACAAAUGGUCAAGAUAAAGGAAAAUGGAUAACAACCAAUGUUCGAGCAGCCUUAGAUGAACAUUGGGGUUCUACAAAUUUCCUAAACAAGAGCUCCACUGUCAAGGCGAAUCGAUCUGUUGACAGAGGAGCCUCAGCAUACUGUGGAGAAAUUUCAACAUCGUCGAGAGGAAAUCUUACAACAUUUGACAGAGGAAGACACAUCUACAUUAGAUUCCCUUAACAUUGCUAUUUCUGUUAAUGAUAAUGAAAUAUAUUUGAAUGUUGUUGGAGGUCCAAAUUAUAAGGGGAACAUGUACGGGCUAUGUACUUUGAGCAAAAGGUUUAGUUGCUCAAAAUCAGCUCCAAUCUACUUCUAUUGCUCCUGUGGAAGACCAAAUAGAGGAAAUGCGUGAGACAAUUAAUAAAUUGAAUGCUAAGCUUUUGGCAAAGGCAUAUAUGGAGAAAACACUUGAGGAAAAGAUGUUGCAGCUGAUGGAGAAUCAUGACCACCAAAGUCAGGAGAUGCGACAACAAAUGCAAGAACAAAAUGAGCAAAUGCAAAGUAUAUUACAACACUUGCAUAUUCAGUCUAUCAUGUCAGCUCCUAGUCCAUCGACUACCUCAGCGGAUGGAACUGAGCACCAUGUUGAUGAUGCUCAGGUUUAUCAUCCUCAUGACAUAUGAAAGGACCAUCAACUCAUGGUUAUUGUUUAUUUUACUUUGAUUAUGUCAUGUUAGUUAUGAAUUUGAACUUCAUUAAAUUUUGACAUUCCAUUUUAUUAAACUUUGCAAACUUUGAAUUUGCAC